GAUGAUAUUUCCUUCGGUGGUCUUUCGGCACCCCCCGAGAUUCUCGCUCGGGGGCUGAGAGCACGGCGAGCGUAUGCCGAAGCAGCUCAAGCUGGCACGAAGAAAGUUUUUCGAACUCGCCUGAUGCUUGUUGGACAAGAACGUGUUGGAAAGACAAGUCUAAAGAAAACUCUUACAGGACAAAGAUUUGAUCAAAACGAGGCAAUGACGAACGGUGUAGAAACAACAAACGCAUGUGAAAUUUGCAUUGAGGUUGCUAAGGCUGGCGAGAAAAUGUGGUCAAUUCACAAAAAAGGACAUGGGAAUGAAGAUACAAAAGAAGAUGAAUAUAGUAAAGCUCUUGCGGAUGACAUAGCAAAGAGGCUGAUCGUGACCCCAUCACAGG